rnacentral:rRNA from 1 species
CCUACGGGAGGCAGCAGUGAGGAAUAUUGGUCAAUGGGCGCAAGCCUGAACCAGCCAAGUCGCGUGAGGGAUGACGGUCCUAUGGAUUGUAAACCUCUUUUGUCGGGGAGCAAUGCCCUCCACGUGUGGCGGGAAGGAGAGUACCCGAAGAAAAAGCAUCGGCUAACUCCGUGCCAGCAGCCGCGGUAAUACGGAGGAUGCGAGCGUUAUCCGGAUUUAUUGGGUUUAAAGGGUGCGUAGGCGGAAGGUUAAGUCAGCGGUAAAAUGUCGGUGCUCAACACCGGCCUGCCGUUGAAACUGGUCUUCUUGAGUGAGCGAGAAGUAUGCGGAAUGCGUGGUGUAGCGGUGAAAUGCAUAGAUAUCACGCAGAACUCCGAUUGCGAAGGCAGCAUACCGGCGCUCAACUGACGCUGAGGCACGAAAGCGUGGGGAUCGAACAGGAUUAGAUACCCCAGUAGUC